rnacentral:rRNA from 1 species
AGAGUUUGAUCCUGGCUCAGAAUCAAGGCUGGCGGCGUGCCUAACACAUGCAAGUCGCGCGCGAAAACCCCCGCAAGGGGGCCAGUAGAGCGGCGCACGGGUGAGUAACACGUGGGUAAUCUACCCUCGAAUGGGGAAUAACCACGCGAAAGCGUGGCUAAUACCGCAUAUCACCCUGCGGGCACAUGCCCGCGGGGUGAAAGCCGCAAGGCGUUCGAGGAGGGGCCCGCGGCCGAUUAGCUAGUUGGUGAGGUCAUGGCUCACCAAGGCAACGAUCGGUAUCCGGCCUGAGAGGGCGCACGGACACACUGGAACUGAAACACGGUCCAGACUCCUACGGGAGGCAGCAGUGGGGAAUUUUGCGCAAUGGGGGAAACCCUGACGCAGCAACGCCGCGUGGAGGAUGAAGGGCUUCGGCUUGUAAACUCCUUUCGGCCGGGACGAAGUGGAAGACGGUACCGGCGGAAGAAGCCCCGGCUAACUACGUGCCACAGCCGCGGUAAUACGUAGGGGGCAAGCGUUGUUCGGAAUUACUGGGCGUAAAGCGCGUGUAGGCGGUUUGGUAAGGCGGGCGUGAAAUCCCCGGGCUCAACCCGGGAUCCGCACCCGCGACUGCCAGGCUGGAGUGCGAGAGGGGAAAGCGGAAUUCCCGGUGUAGCGGUGAAAUGCGUAGAGAUCGGGAGGAACACCCGUGGCGAAGGCGGCUUUCUGGAUCGCAACUGACGCUGAGACGCGAAAGCUAGGGGAGCAAACAGGAUUAGAUACCCUGGUAGUCCUAGCUGUAAACGAUGGACGCUAGGUGUAAGUGGUUCAUUCCACUUGUGCCGUCGCUAACGCAUUAAGCGUCCCGCCUGGGGAGUACGGUCGCAAGGCUGAAACUCAAAGGAAUUGACAGGGGCCCGCACAAGCGGUGGAGCAUGUGGGUUCAAUUCGACGCAACCGCGAAGAACCCUUACCUGGGCUCGAAAGCGCCGGUUGACCGGGAUGGAAAACAUCCUUUUCCCGCAAGGGACGCCGGCGGAGGUGCUGCAUGGCUGUCGUCAGCUCGUGUCGUGAGAUGUUGGGUUAAGUCCCGCAACGAGCGCAACCCUUAUGCCUAGUUGCCAUCGGGUCAUGCCGGGCACUCUAGGGAAACCGCCUCGGAUAACGGGGAGGAAGGUGGGGAUGACGUCAAGUCCUCAUGGCCUUUAUGUCCAGGGCUACACACGUGCUACAAUGGGCGGCUACAGACCGUCGCCAACCCGCGAGGGGGGGCUAAUCGGACAAAAGCGUCCUCAGUUCGGAUUGCAGUCUGCAACUCGACUGCAUGAAGCUGGAAUCGCUAGUAAUCGCGGAUCAGCACGCCGCGGUGAAUACGUUCCCGGGCCUUGUACACACCGCCCGUCACAUCACGAAAGUGGGCUGUACUAGAAGCCGGCGCGCCAACCGCAAGGAGCCAGCCGUCCAAGGUAUGGUUCAUGAUUGGGGUGAAGUCGUAACAAGGUA